rnacentral:rRNA from 1 species
UACGUAGGGUGCAAGCGUUGUCCGGAAUUAUUGGGCGUAAAGAGCUUGUAGGCGGUUUGUCGCGUCUGCUGUGAAAUUUCGGGGCUCAACCCCGAACUUGCAGUGGGUACGGGCAGACUAGAGUGUGGUAGGGGAGACUGGAAUUCCUGGUGUAGCGGUGAAAUGCGCAGAUAUCAGGAGGAACACCGAUGGCGAAGGCAGGUCUCUGGGCCAUAACUGACGUGAGAAGCGAAAAGCAUGGGGGAGCGAACAGG